rnacentral:rRNA from 1 species
UAGCGUAGGGGGCAAGCGUUGUUCGGAAUCACUGGGCGUAAAGGGUGCGUAGGCGGCGGCGGAAAGUCAGGGGUGAAAUCCCCGGAGCUCAACUCCAGAACUGCCUUUGAUACUGGAAGAUCUUGAGUUCGGGAGAGGUGAGUGGAACUGCGAGUGUAGAGGUGAAAUUCGUAGAUAUUCGCAAGAACACCAGUGGCGAAGGCGGCUCACUGGCCCGAUACUGACGCUGAGGCACGGAAAGCGUGGGGAGCAAACAGG